ACCUGCGGAAGGAUCAUUAUUGAAUGAACUUGGUGUGGUUGUUGCUGGCCCUUUCGGGGGCAUGUGCACGCCGACCAUCCUCAUCUCUCCACCUGUGCACCUCUUGUAGACUUGAAUUGACUUUCCGAGGUAACUCGGUCGGGAGGAUUGCCGGCACCAGCUGGCUUUCUUUGCAUUUUCAGGUCUAUGUUUUUCAUAUACCCCCAUUGUAUGUAACAGAAUGUAACAUUGGGCCCUUGUGCCUAUAAACCUUAUACAACUUUCAGCAACGGAUCUCUUGGCUCUCGCAUCGAUGAAGAACGCAGCGAAAUGCGAUAAGUAAUGUGAAUUGCAGAAUUCAGUGAAUCAUCGAAUCUUUGAACGCACCUUGCGCUCCUUGGUAUUCCGAGGAGCAUGCCUGUUUGAGUGUCAUUAAAUUCUCAACCUUUAUCAACUUUUGCUGAUAAUGGCUUGGAUAUGGGGGUUUAUUUUGCUGGCUUCUUUAUAGAUGGUCAGCUCCCCUUAAAUACAUUAGCCGGUGCCCCGCGUGGACUGUCUAUUGGUGUGAUAAUUAUCUACGCCGUGGACAUCUGCAAUCAUAUGGGUUUGCACUGCUUCCAACCGUCUGUUCGAUCAGACUAUACAUGACAAUUUGACC
rnacentral:rRNA from 1 species